rnacentral:rRNA from 1 species
GGACUACAGGGGUUUCUAAUCCUUUUUGCUCCCCACGCUUUCGUGCCUCAGUGUCAGGGUCGCCCCAGCUAACUGCCUUCGCUUUUGGUGUUCCCGACGAUAUCAACGGAUUUCACCCCUACUUCGUCGGUUCCGUUAGCCUCUAACGCCCUCUUAGCAUGGCAGUAUUUGAAACAGCCCAAAGGUUGAGCCGAUGGGGUUUAAUCUCAAACUUACCGCGCCACCUACGCACCCUUUACGCCCAAUAAAUCCGGGUAACGCUUGGGGUCUCUGUAUUACCGCGGCUGCUGGCAC